UAAUGGAAAUGGGAAAAUGCCGAGACC
rnacentral:piRNA from 1 species